rnacentral:lncRNA from 1 species
GAUUACAGGGAUGAGCCACCACUGAAUAUUUUAAGCUCACUGUUGAGACCUACUGCUUAGGAAAAAAGAUUCCUUUCUAAAUAUGACUGCUCAUUGACAACGCACCUGGUCAUCCCAGAGCUCUGAAAGAGAUGUACAAGGAGAUUAUUAGUGUCGUUUUUAUGCCUGCUAACACAAUAUCCAUUUUGCAGCCCAUGGAUCAAGGAGUAAUUUCAACUUUCAAGCCCUAUUAUUUUAAUUUUUAGUUUAUAUAAGAUCAAUUCUUAUUAUUUAAGAAAUAUAUUUCAUAAAGCUAUAGCUGUCGUAGAUAGUGACUUUUGUGAUGGAUCUGGGCAGAGUAAACUGAAAACAUUCCGGAAAGAAUUCAUCAUUCUAGAUACCAUUAAGAACAUUAAUGAUUCAUGGGAAGAGGUCGAAAUGUCAACAUUAAUAGGAGUUUGGAAGAUACUGAUUUCAACAUUCAUGGAUGAUUUUGAGGGGCUCACGACUUCAGUGGAGGAAGUAACAUCCUCUUUAGCAUCAUUCUUAAGGGCCCUAGGAUUUUCAGAAUGGCAAAUCAACACUGGCUUCAACUUAAAGUCACCAGCUGCCUUGGCCCCUAACAAGAGAGUCUGGCUGGGCACAGUAGCUCCCGCCUGUGAUCCCAGCACUUUGAGAGGCCUAGGUGGGAGAACUGCUUGAGGUCAGGUGUUCAAGACCAGCCUGGGCAAUACGGCAAGACCCCACCUCUAAUUUUUUUAAAAGGAAACAAGAGACAGAGUCAGCCUGUCCUUUGAAGCUUUGAAGAAUGGCACUGAUUUCUCUUCUCUAGCUAUGAAAGUCCCAGAUGACAUCUUCUUCCAACAGAAGACUGUUCAUUUACACUGCAAAUCUGUUGUUUAGUAGAACCACCUUCAGCAUUGAUCUUAGCUAGAUCUUCUGGAUAACUUGCACAGCUUCUACAUCAGCACUAUGGCUUCCCCUUGCACUUUGAUGUUAGAGAGAUGGCUUCUUUCCUCAAACCUUGUAAGUCAACCUCUGCUAGCUUCAAACUUUUCUUCUUCAGCUUCCUCACCUCUCUUGGGCUUCAGAGAACUGAAGAGGGGCCUUGCUCUGGAUUAGGCUUUGGCUUAAGGAAGUGCUGCGGCUUCUUUGAUCUUCUCUCCAGAUCACUAAAGCUUUCUCCAUAUCAGCAAAAAGGCUGGGUUUUGUUGUUAGUGGUUUUUUUGGGUUUUCUUGUUUUUCUUUUUGAGAUGGAGUCUCACUCUAUUGCCCAGGCUGGAAUGCAGUGGCACAAUCUCAGCUCACUGCAAC